rnacentral:rRNA from 1 species
AUCCUUCGGGAUUAGUGGCAGACGGGUGAGUAACGCGUGGGAAGCUACCUUGUGGUAGGGGACAACAGUUGGAAACGACUGCUAAUACCCUAUGAGCCCUAUGGGGGAAAGAUUUAUCGCCAUGAGAUGUGCCCGCGUUAGAUUAGCUAGUUGGUAAGGUAAUGGCUUACCAAGGCGACGAUCUAUAGCUGGUCUGAGAGGAUGAUCAGCCACACUGGGACUGAGACACGGCCCAGACUCCUACGGGAGGCAGCAGUGGGGAAUAUUGGACAAUGGGGGCAACCCUGAUCCAGCCAUGCCGCGUGUGUGAUGACGGCCUUAGGGUUGUAAAGCACUUUCAGCAGUGAAGAUAAUGACAUUAACUGCAGAAGAAGCCCCGGCUAACUUCGUGCCUUCAGCCGCGGUAAUACGAAGGGGGCUAGCGUUGUUCGGAAUCACUGGGCGUAAAGAGUACGUAUGCGGACUGAUAAGUUAGGGGUGAAAUCCCAAGGCUCAACCUUGGAACUGCCUUUGAUACUGUCAGUCUUG